CUGAGCGAGGGUUUCGGCCCGACCUCCAACCCCAUGUAUUCCGACUCUGUUGCCUCGGGGGCGACCCGGCCUUCGGGCGUCGGGGCCCCCGGUGGACUCCAUAACUCUGCAUCUUUGCGUCUGAGUAACACUUUGAAUUAAAUCA
rnacentral:misc_RNA from 1 species